GCCGGUUUCGGUUUGCAUCUCUGUCGCUCUGCAGAGUGGAGACGACGAGGCAGCCAGGCCGGCCGGAUCACCACCGCCACCGCGCCGCGCCAACCCUUGUACAGCCAGCCGGACUCCCUCGCUACGGCGGUUGCUGCCGGCGGCGCAUCUGGUGUCACGAACAUCACCACCUCUCGCCGGUAGCCGGCCGGCCGGCCGGCCGUCCAUGCCCGUGGCGACCACCGGCAUCAGCAGGGCAAGCACGGGCACGGCGGCGACUCCCGCUUCAUCCUGCGCUGCGACACAUCAGCCUCGUCCUCACCUUCCGCACACUUCCCCUCCGCCUCUCGAGGAGCGAGGUGAAUAAGAGGCUCGUUGACACCGAAGUUGAUUGCCUUCAGUGCUGUGAACAAAUUUAAGGAGGAUUGCGAGAUGCUGGAACAAACAUUUGUUCCUUACCUAGCCUGGUUGGAUUCUGCAGCUUCGAACCCCACACACAACCCAGAGGUGUCUUCCAGGUUGAAACUGAUUUACCGUCAGAGUGCUGUAUGUGUCUUCUUUUUCAUUCUUCAUGUUUCGAGUUUCCUAACCUGUUUGCGAAAAUAAAUGUCUCAUACCGCAAAUGUGGUGGUUGAUUGCCGUCUAGCAUGAAGGCUAUAUCACUUGAAAGCUGUACUGAACUUGUUGUUGGCAAAAUACACCGACAUAAGCAGUAUCUUUCUGAGUGGAAGUAUGCCUUUUCAUACUAAAUCUGAUGUGAAGGCUAUAUCAUUUGAAAGCUGUACUGAACAUGUUGUUGGCAAAAUACACCGACAUAAUCAAUAAAUUUCUGAGUGGAAGUAUGCCUUUUCAUACACAAUCCGCUGUUCGCUUGAUCCAGUUUUACUGGUUGUGCAACUAAAUGAUGUUUCAUGUUUUCAUACAUCUCAGUAGAUAUUUUGCACGGGUGUGUGUGUGUGGCAAAAACUGGCCGUUACUAAUCUGUUGAAUCCCAUGUAGCUGCUCUGGUAACUAUUCCUACAUAUAGGAGGAAUUAUGCUCUUGAAAAGGUUGAGUAACCUAAUAUUGAUAUUCAGAGAAUUAUGCAUGUGGAGGAGAAGCAACUGGUGUGGAAUUUCCAUUUUUCUUAUCUUAGAUAGAAGAAAGCUCUUACAAAGUUUGUCUGUUCAGUGGAAGUGAGUGAUAUCCAAGUUAGUUAAAACAUCCAGUUAUCCUUAUAUCUCAGCACGGCUUAUGUUUUGUACUGUUGUAUUUCGUAUGUGCAUCAGAGGAAAUGUGCUUUCUAGGCAUGUUGGACCGUACGAGUCCGAGAUUUCAUUAAUAUAAUAUGGUCAUGCCCAGUGAUCAAUACAAAGGACACUGGAAUUCGGUUUCUAAUGUCACUUUUUUUUUCCAUUUCAAACAUUAUCUGUGUUGAAAGGAAUCUAUGUCGUAACUUCUGCAUGUCUAUUUCACAUUCCUUGUUCUAAUUUCUAAAUGACAAAUUGACAAGGCAGCCUGUUAUAUAAUAUUGAGCUACCGACUCCACAUUAUCUUGAUAUAAUUUGCAAGGUUUAGUAUUGUGAUCGUGUGUGGGAAGCUAAAGAAGCUGUCGUAUUAUUGAUUGGAAAAUGGAAAGUGUGAACCAAUUGAUGUGAUGAUGACUCAGUCAGCAUUUGGUUAUCAUGGUCAGCAAUUUCUAUUUAUACUUAACUACUGUAUAUAAAACUCACAUGUUAUGAUCUGUUGUCCAUUUCUGCUUUAUUAAAUAUUGAAAUUGCUAGUUUCAUACUAACUUUUAUAGUCGAGAAAUUAGGACAGGUGUUGUCAGUAGUUGUUAGUGAGCAUCCUAACUUUGCUGAGGCAAUACUUGUUUUACAUCAUUAACUUGCUCACUGUUUACUAUUGAAAGCUAAGAAAAUAUGGAUCAUAUAUAUAUGGAUUAACUUGUCUUAGUUGCUUUAAUUGGUUUAAUUUGGAAAUUUCAUUUCAGCCAAUUCGUUCACUGUCAGCAGCUACACUUAUCCUUACUAGUGUUUCACCUAAGAGUCAUCCGUAUUCAAGAGUGCCUUAAAAUCCACCGCGUCUUACAUUUAAGUCGGCGAAUGGGGAAGCAUCCAAGAUAAUUUUCAGAAAGGGAGAUGACCUCCGCCAAGAGCAGCUGGAACAAAGGCAGUGGCACGGCCUUGAGUGGUGUGACCAUGUUGUGGGAUGUCCUAUACCGGUCCCUAACAUCCACGUCGCACGGUUGCAUCCCCACGGGCAGCCUCCACUUGAACCUGUGCAGCAGGAUGCGAGGAUGAGUGUCACAAUCCUCGUGGCCAUCGGCAUCCCAGGGCAGAUUCUUCUUUUAUUAUGAUCUUUUACUUUUGUUUCUACUCGACUCAGAUUGAUGUAACAAUGGCUAGCUAGCUACUGCCUUGCAUAUUGGUAAAUUAGUUAUACUACUGCCUUACAUUUGUUUUUCAUGCACUAUUGUUCUUCCAGGGUGAUCUCUGUUGUGAUUCCCUGUGUUCAUUCGGAGCAGGGGGCUGAUUAAUAGCUAUUCUUCCGGUCGCUUAAAACUGAUGUAACUUAGAUUCUUGUAUGUAGCCGUGAGGGCCAUCAUGGGCUCCACAUGUGCCCUAUUGCCGGCCCUUGAUGCGGCGCCCCAGCCUCCCUAUAGAGGACCGGAAGCUUGAAGUAGCAGGAGCAGCAACAUCUCUGACCCUUUCCUGAGGAGCUGCAGGUCCUAAACAAGGUCCUGGCCGAGUUCCUCCCUGUCUUGGCCUUGGGGCUACGUACAUUGCUGCUCUUCAUCAUGUUAUUUACGGACGCAUGCAAAAUUCUCAGGUACUUCUACCUAAGCCACGCAAGUUAGGUUGAACUCCGACGACAUGCCGAUUUUCGGGUACAUGUACCUGGUGCGUGCUGUCUGGUUUCAAUAGUGAGACCACCCUAAUGGAUCCAGCAAUUUCCCCUCCAUCAUUCUCACCUCGUCACGGAUUCUUACCUCGCUACGGGCAAGACCACCCUAAUGUUGGGUGGUGGAUGGCUCGGGGCUGGUAGUGGUGCAGCUCCUUGACAGUGGAACGCUCCAUUUAUCCUAUGUUAGUGGGUUCAAUGUUGUUGCUGGUGGUUUGCUCGUUCGACCGCUGACUUUGUGACCAUGUUGUCUUGUGGGUGGUUACAACGUUGGGAAAACUUUGUUUCGCCAUUCUAGUUUUUGCUCACUAUGUUAUGUCACUCUAGAAUGUGACAUCUCACUUUUAUCACACUUAGCUUUUGACAAUAUAUCACAAAUGCCAGGCCGUGGAAAAAAGCAAAUAUUUUUCAUUUCA